AUUGAACGCUGGCGGCAUGCCUUACACAUGCAAGUCGAACGGCAGCACGGGAGCAAUCCUGGUGGCGAGUGGCGAACGGGUGAGUAAUAUAUCGGAACGUGCCCAGUUGUGGGGGAUAGCCCGGCGAAAGCCGGAUUAAUACCGCAUACGACCUACGGGUGAAAGCGGGGGAUCGCAAGACCUCGCGCAAUUGGAGCGGCCGAUAUCAGAUUAGCUAGUUGGUGGGGUAAAGGCUCACCAAGGCGACGAUCUGUAGCUGGUCUGAGAGGACGACCAGCCACACUGGGACUGAGACACGGCCCAGACUCCUACGGGAGGCAGCAGUGGGGAAUUUUGGACAAUGGGCGCAAGCCUGAUCCAGCCAUGCCGCGUGUGGGAAGAAGGCCUUCGGGUUGUAAACCACUUUUGUCAGGGAAGAAACGGUCCUUACUAAUAUUAGGGGCUAAUGACGGUACCUGAAGAAUAAGCACCGGCUAACUACGUGCCAGCAGCCGCGGUAAUACGUAGGGUGCAAGCGUUAAUCGGAAUUACUGGGCGUAAAGCGUGCGCAGGCGGCUAUGCAAGACAGAUGUGAAAUCCCCGGGGCUCAACCUGGGAACUGCAUUGUGACUGCAUGGCUAGAGUACGGUAGAGGGGGAUGGAAUUCCGCGUGUAGCAGUGAAAAUGCGUAGAUAUGCGGAGGAACACCGAUGGCGAAGGCAAUCCCCUGGACCUGUACUGACGCUCAUGCACGAAAAGCGUGGGGGAGCAAAA
rnacentral:rRNA from 1 species